UAAACAGAAUGAACAAGAGACAGAGAGAGAGAGAGACAGACAGAGAGAGAGAGAGACAGUGUUUCACCCCUUUCUUUAACAGUGAGUGAGCACAAAACUGGUCUUGCUACACAGGAAGAGUCAAAAGGAAGGUACGAAACCACAAAGCUGAAAUUUAUAAUCCGCCUGUCUCCCAAGCAGUUAGUCAUCCAAUACAGCCUGUAUUAAAAAAAGCUGUCUAACUGACAAAGCGGCAACAGCAUGACUGCGUUUGGAGCACAGCCUGGACUGCACAAAGCUGGACCGAGGGCAACCACAGACUGACAACCACAAAGAGACUCCAAAUCCUGCGAGAACUAAACUGGAAAAAAGCUGUGACAGAGGCAAGCCUGCGCUUACAGAAGCAUAGAGAAACCACCAAAAAAAGACUGGACAGCAGUCAAAACACAGCUUGUACGAAACUCUGGAGAGCUCUGUGGAGGCAGUUUCAGUGGACAGUCUGAUUUGGAACACCCAACUCUACACUUUGAACUAAAGGAAAGGAAAAAAAAAAAAACAAAACAAACAAACAAAAAAGGCCCACUCAACAUUUUCCCAUCAGACAGCUCUGAUCACCUAACAGAAUGGACGCCAAACAGGAAACACUUGACAUCCUUCAAAAGAUCUGGACCAAGCUGCAGGGACUCCCUCAAGGAAACACAUACGAGAUAGCGGGCUUCCUCAUCCUCCUCAUCUUUGUCUUGACAUUCCUGAGUCUGGUGGUGUUUGCUUGUGCACAGUGCUGCUGCAGCUGUGGAAGAAGACCCAGAAGUAGGGACUCGGUCAUCUGAACCAUCACUACAAUUCAGUCAGCCCAUUUUAGCUCACUUUAAAGGACGGAGGACUACCAGAGAAAGACGGAGCCCUAAAAAGUAAGGGAUAUGAAGAGAGGACAUCACUGCGGGACGAAAUUGCUAUGUUUUUGGGGCCAUUCAGUGUCAUGCAUCAAUGACCCCUUCAUGCCUUUGACCAUGAGACUCUAAAACAAUACAAAGCAUCCCUGUAAGGCUAGCCUUAUACGUAUACUGCUUUUAAUAAUUACAUAUGCGCAUUUAAAAUAUUGUUUAUUAGUACUAUCCAUCUUCCAUUUUCAGAGGGGAUAUGUCUUGUACAUGCCUGUGCAUAGUGUCAAGUGAAGGAACAUGAAAUCAAGGCUGUAAGAGCUGGCAGUUCAUCUAUAAACACAUUAUAUAAGAGAAAUAUUAAACAACAAAGACUGUAAAAAAAGAGAGAAAACGUGUCAAUGCUAUGCGAAACUAACUGGAACCAACUUAGGAUUGGAAGGAGUGAAUGAAUACUUUUUCAUUUCAAAUGUGACACCAGUGUUUUUUCCCCUCAUUUAUUUAUUUUGUGUUGUGUGACAGAUGUUUUGCAAUAAAUACCACUAUAUACACUAGUAAA